rnacentral:rRNA from 1 species
CCUACGGGAGGCAGCAGUGGGGAAUCUUGCGCAAUGGGCGGAAGCCUGACGCAGCAACGCCGCGUGCGGGAAGAAGGCCUUAGGGUCGUAAACCGCUUUCAGGGGGGACGAAGCUUCCGGGGUUAAUAGCCUACGGGGUGACGGUACUCCCAAAAGAAGGUCCGGCUAACUACGUGCCAGCAGCCGCGGUAAUACGUAGGGACCGAGCGUUGUCCGGAAUCAUUGGGCGUAAAGAGCGUGUAGGCGGCUUGGUAGGUCUCGUGUGAAAUCCCGCGGCUCAACCGCGGAUCCGCACGGGAAACCCCUAAGCUCGAGUCCGGAAGAGGAGAGUGGAAUUCCUGGUGUAGCGGUGAAAUGCGCAGAUAUCAGGAAGAACACCCGUAGCGAAGGCGGCUCUCUGGGACGGUACUGACGCUGAGACGCGAAAGCGUGGGGAGCAAACAGGAUUAGAUGCCCUGGUAGUCCACGCCGUAAACGGUGGGCGCUAGGUGUGGGAGGUGUCGACUCCUCCCGUGCCGAAGCUAACGCAUUAAGCGCCCCGCCUGGGGAGUACGGCCGCAAGGCUAAAACUCAAAUGAAUUGACGG